UGCUUGGGAACAUGCCUUGAGGUGGGGACGAACAGUUGGAAACGACUGCUAAUACCGCAUAAUGUCUACGGACCAAAGGAGGGGAUCUUCGGACCUUUCGCCUUUAGAUUGGCCCAAGUGAGAUUAGCUAGUUGGUAAGGUAAAGGCUUACCAAGGCGACGAUCUCUAGCUGGUUUGAGAGGAUGAUCAGCCACACUGGGACUGAGACACGGCCCAGACUCCUACGGGAGGCAGCAGUGGGGAAUAUUGGACAAUGGGCGCAAGCCUGAUCCAGCCAUGCCGCGUGUGUGAAGAAGGCCU
rnacentral:rRNA from 1 species